GUAAUAGAAGCUGAUAUAUUAGCAUUGGUCUUGUAAAUCAAAGGAAAGGUGUAAAAUUUACCUCUAUUGCU
rnacentral:tRNA from 2 species